UGGGGAAUUUUGGACAAUGGGCGAAAGCCUGAUCCAGCAAUGCCGCGUGUGUGAAGAAGGCCUUCGGGUUGUAAAGCACUUUUGUCCGGAAAGAAAUGGCUCUGGUUAAUACCUGGGGUCGAUGACGGUACCGGAAGAAUAAGGACCGGCUAACUACGUGCCAGCAGCCGCGGUAAUACGUAGGGUCCAAGCGUUAAUCGGAAUUACUGGGCGUAAAGCGUGCGCAGGCGGUUGUGCAAGACCGAUGUGAAAUCCCCGAGCCUAACUUGGGAAUUGCAUUGGUGACUGCACGGCUAGAGUGUGUCAGAGGGGGGUAGAAUUCCACGUGUAGCAGUGAAAUGCGUAGAGAUGUGGAGGAAUACCGAUGGCGAAGGCAGCCCCCUGGGAUAACACUGACGCUCAUGCACGAAAGCGUGGGGAGCAAACAGGAUUAGAUACCCUGGUAGUCCACGCCCUAAACGAUGUCAACUAGUUGUUGGGGAUUCAUUUCCUUAGUAACGUAGCUAACGCGUGAAGUUGACCGCCUGGGGAGUACGGUCGCAA
rnacentral:rRNA from 1 species